AUACCCCAUCUGUUACAAGACUGAAAUGAACAUUUGGUACACACGCCUGCCAAAUGAACUGCUGUGAGCUGCCAAAGUGUAACAUGUUAAAGGGGAGAGAAGGUUGAAUUUCUCUAUUCUCUGUUGUCUGAGAAUGUGGCAAUUGGAAAAUAACUUGUAUUGCAGAAUACAAUGAAAGAAUACCAAUAUAUUAGUAAUAUAUACCACCCUGGCGUUUCCAGUCAUUUCCCACCUUACACCUGUGUCCACAGUUGUCUCUCACAGCAGUGAGCGGAGGUUUGCUGCCUCCAGGCAUUACUCAGUCCUUCCCUGAGGUGCACAAUCAGGCAUCCUGUUUUUCCCUUGGAAUCUCCUUGCUUUCAACUACGAAAAUAUCACUUUUCUGCUAGAAUUCAGGGCUGCCAGCAGAGGCAUGUUUUUUUUAGUCUAGGAACCAGACCAGUGACGAUUCUGGGUACACGAUGCCUCCAGCUUGUGUCUCAUGAAAGCUAUGGAGACUUGAAAUAGUUCUCACGGGACAACCAAAGACCCCUGUUAGAAAGGGAAGUGCGCCCCCAAGGAGAGAAGAAUGAAUAUCUCUGCCUUUCCUCCAUUUAUUUCUCUUUGGUGUGAGAGCAGCUGUGAGGUUGCCAGGGGAACAAGGCACUGGGACGACUGUGGGCUGCUGGUAUGCUACCAAGGUUUGUUUCUCCUGCUCACCGUGGAGCUCUGUUGUUGCUGCUCAUAUUUUCUCUAUGGAUGAGUGAGGCCUUGGUCAGUGGAGGAAUGAGGGAGAACAGGAGGGUUCGGGGAGAUAAACUGGCCUCAGCUUGCUCCUGUUGCAAAACAAAAAGCGUCACUUGUAGUGCAUCAAAAUGUCCCUCCUUUCUCCCUGCUCCCAGCCAUAGGGCUUAGAAGGCUCUGGAAAUCUGUCAGCUUCUGAAUUGUGCAGGCUGGCCACUGCUUGCAUAAACACUGUGUGGGACUAACAACAUAAGCUCAAACAGACAGACUAACCCAAAUGCCAACAUUCCCAUGAUUUGCGAGAGGGAGGUCUGAAAUGUAUGUGAGAACCUGCAUCCAUCCUGUUGAUGGAAGUGCACCUAAUAAAAUGUGUGUACAGCAGGAAAUCUGAAUAUCUGAUAUUUGGAAUAUUUGUCUAUUUAAUUCCCUGAGGACCAUGUGUGUGACCAGAGAACAUAUAGUGAUGGAUGUAGAUGCAAAAGGACAAAACACACUGAUGUCAGCAAAACAGAAACAAAAAAUGAGUGGGUCAUCAACCAGAUCAUCUCUUUCUUUCCUACUCUCUCCUUGUCUUCAAUAAGUAAAAGAUAAGCCUG
ensembl:lncRNA